UGGGCAGUAACUCAGUGGUAGAGCUCCCGCUUCGUAUGCGGGGAGACAUGGGUUCGAUUCCUGGCUGCUUCC
rfam:Toxocara canis scaffold4, whole genome shotgun sequence.